GCUGUGAUGGCUGAGUGGUUAAGGCGUUGGAUUUGGAAUCCAGCUGGAUUCCCCACACAGAUUCCAGCCCUGCUCAUAGUA